GACGAACGCUGGCGGCGUGCUUAACACAUGCAAGUCGAACGGAAAGGUCCUGCUUUUGUGGGGUGCUCGAGUGGCGAACGGGUGAGUAACACGUGAGUAACCUGCCCUUGACUUUGGGAUAACUUCAGGAAACUGGGGCUAAUACCGGAUAGGAGCUCCUGCUGCAUGGUGGGGGUUGGAAAGUUUCGGCGGUUGGGGAUGGACUCGCGGCUUAUCAGCUUGUUGGUGGGGUAGUGGCUUACCAAGGCUUUGACGGGUAGCCGGCCUGAGAGGGUGACCGGCCACAUUGGGACUGAGAUACGGCCCAGACUCCUACGGGAGGCAGCAGUGGGGAAUAUUGCACAAUGGGCGGAAGCCUGAUGCAGCAACGCCGCGUGCGGGAUGACGGCCUUCGGGUUGUAAACCGCUUUCGCCUGUGACGAAGCGUGAGUGACGGUAAUGGGUAAAGAAGCACCGGCUAACUACGU
rnacentral:rRNA from 1 species